rnacentral:rRNA from 1 species
GUGUCAGCAGCCGCGGUAAGACGAGCCUUGCUAACGUUAUUCGGAAUUACUGGGCUUAAAGGGUGCGUAGGCUGUGCAGAAAGUUGGGUGUGAAAUCCCCCGGCUCAACCGGGGAAUGGCAUUCAAAACUACUGUGCUAGAGGAAUACAGAGGUAAGCGGAACUUCGGGUGGAGCGGUGAAAUGCGUUGAUAUCCGAAGGAACACCGGUGGCGAAAGCGGCUUACUGGGUAUUCACUGACGCUGAUGCACGAAAGCUAGGGUAGCGAACGGGAUUAGAUACCCCGGUAGUCCUAGCCGUAAACGAUGAGCACUGGGUUGGAGGGUCCUCCAUAGCCUUCCAGCCGCAGCGAAAGUGUUAAGUGCUCCGCCUGGGGAGUAUGGUCGCAAGGCUGAA